CCUACGUGAGGCAGCAGUGGGGAAUAUUGGACAAUGGGGGGAACCCUGAUCCAGCGACGCCGCGUGAGUGAAGAAGUAUUUCGGUAUGUAAAGCUCUAUCAGCAGGGAAGAAAGAAAUGACGGUACCUGACUAAGAAGCCCCGGCUAACUACGUGCCAGCAGCCGCGGUAAUACGUAGGGGGCAAGCGUUAUCCGGAUUUACUGGGGGUAAAGGGAGCGUAGACGGCGAUGCAAGUCUGAAGUGAAAGGCGGGGGCCCAACCCCCGGACUGCUUUGGAAACUGUAUGGCUGGAGUGCAGGAGAGGUAAGUGGAAUUCCUAGUGUAGCGGUGAAAUGCGUAGAUAUUAGGAGGAACACCAGUGGCGAAGGCGGCUUACUGGACUGUAACUGACGUUGAGGCUCGAAAGCGUGGGGAGCAAACAGGAUUAGAUACCCCAGUAGUC
rnacentral:rRNA from 1 species